UACGUAGGGUGCAAGCGUUAUCCGGAAUCACUGGGCGUAAAGCGUGCGUAGGCGGUGAUUUAAGUGAGAUGUUAAAUCGUGUGGCUCAACCAUAUCGAUGCGUCUCAUACUGGGUUCCUAGAGGAUGGCAGAGGCAAGUGGAAUUGGUAGUGUAGCAGUGAAAUGCGUAGAUAUUACCAGGAACACCAAUGGCGAAGGCAGCUUGCUGGGCCACCCCUGACGCUGAGGUACGAAAGCGUGGGGAGCGAACAGG
rnacentral:rRNA from 1 species